GAUGAACGCUGGCGGCGUGCCUAAUACAUGCAAGUCGAGCGAACAGAUAAGGAGCUUGCUCCUUUGACGUUAGCGGCGGACGGGUGAGUAACACGUGGAUAACCUACCUAUAAGACUGGGAUAACUUCGGGAAACCGGAGCUAAUACCGGAUAACAUAUUGAACCGCAUGGUUCAAUAGUGAAAGGCGGCUUUGCUGUCACUUAUAGAUGGAUCCGCGCCGUAUUAGCUAGUUGGUAAGGUAACGGCUUACCAAGGCAACGAUACGUAGCCGACCUGAGAGGGUGAUCGGCCACACUGGAACUGAGACACGGUCCAGACUCCUACGGGAGGCAGCAGUAGGGAAUCUUCCGCAAUGGGCGAAAGCCUGACGGAGCAACGCCGCGUGAGUGAUGAAGGUCUUCGGAUCGUAAAACUCUGUUAUCAGGGAAGAACAAAUGUGUAAGUAACGGUGCACAUCUUGACGGUACCUGAUCAGAAAGCCACGGCUAACUACGUGC
rnacentral:rRNA from 1 species